rnacentral:SRP_RNA from 1 species
GCCAAGCUAUCUUUCCAGCAUGCUGUAGUCCUAGCUACUUGGGAGGCUGAGGUGGAAGGAUUGCUUGAGUCCAGGAUUUCUAGGCUGCAGUGCACUAUGCCAAUCGGGUAUCCACAGUAAGUUCGGCUUUUAUAUGGUAGCCUUCUGUGAGCAGGCUUCUACCAUGUUGCCUAAGAAGGGGUGAACUGGCCCAGGUUGGAAAUGGAGCAGGUCGAAAUUCCUGUGCUGAUCAGAAAAGGCAUUUUUCCAAAUCCAACUCUUAUUCAGGAUAAGAAUCUCUU